CCCUUAGAUGUCCUGGGCCGCACGCGUGCUACACUGACACUUACACCGAGUUUUUCCGGCCCCGAGAGGUGGCUGGUAAUCAGUAAUAGGUGUCGUGAUGGGGAUAGAUCUUUGGAAUUAUUGAUCUUGAACGAGGAAUGCCUAGUAAUCGUAGGUCAUCAGCCUGCGAUGAUUACGUCCCUGCCCUUUGUACACACCGCCCGUCGCUCCUACCGAUUUCGAGUGGUCCGGUGAACCUUUCGGACGGAGAGAGUCUCGUACAAUCUCUGAAAGUCAAGUAAACCACAUCACUUAGAGGAAGGAGAAGUCGUAACA
rnacentral:rRNA from 1 species